UACAUAGGGUGCGAGCGUUGUCCGGAAUUAUUGGGCGUAAAGGGCUCGUAGGCGGUUUGUCACGUCGGGAGUGAAAACUCAGGGCUCAACCCUGAGCCUGCUUCCGAUACGGGCAGACUAGAGGUAUGCAGGGGAGAACGGAAUUCCUGGUGUAGCGGUGAAAUGCGCAGAUAUCAGGAGGAACACCGGUGGCGAAGGCGGUUCUCUGGGCAUUACCUGACGCUGAGGAGCGAAAGUGUGGGGAGCGAACAGG
rnacentral:rRNA from 1 species